AUGCAGGCGGUUUGUUAAGUCAGAUGUGAAAGCCCGGGGCUCAACCUCGGAACCGCAUUUGAAACUGGCAGGCUAGAGUCUUGUAGAGGGGGGUAGAAUUUCAGGUGUAGCGGUGAAAUGCGUAGAGAUCUGAAGGAAUACCAGUGGCGAAGGCGACCCCCUGGACAAAGACUGACGCUCAGAUGCGAAAGCGUGGGUAGCAAACAGGAUUAGAUACCCUGGUAGUCCACGCCGUAAACGCUGUCUACUUGGAGGUUGAGGUUUAGACUUUGGCUUUCGGCGCUAACGCAUUAAGUAGACCGCCUGGGGAGUACGGCCGCAAGGUUAAAACUCAAAUGAAUUGACGGGGGCCCGCACAAGCGGUGGAGCAUGUGGUUUAAUUCGAUGCAACGCGAAGAACCUUACCUACUCUUGACAUCCAGCGAAGCCUUUAGAGAUAGAGGUGUGCCUUCGGGAGCGCUGAGACAGGUGCUGCAUGGCUGUCGUCAGCUCGUGUUGUGAAAUGUUGGGUUAAGUCCCGCAACGAGCGCAACCCUUAUCCUUGUUUGCCAGCGAGUAAUGUCGGGAACUCCAGGGAGACUGCCGGUGAUAAACCGGAGGAAGGUGGGGACGACGUCAAGUCAUCAUGGCCCUUACGAGUAGGGCUACACACGUGCUACAAUGGCAGAUACAGAGGGCAGCGACGCUGCGAAGUAGAGCGAAUCCCUUAAAGUCUGUCGUAGUCCGGAUUGGAGUCUGCAACUCGACUCCAUGA
rnacentral:rRNA from 1 species